rnacentral:lncRNA from 1 species
GUCCACCUCCCCUCCCCAUUGAACUAAAGAAACUUCUUGUCUCAUGGAUACUCAGAAUACCAAUCAAGAGUUCCAGACACUACUGAUGGUGACCAAGGCAACAUUUCAUCAGAAAACACAGUGCUGGGCUUGUGAAGAAGGUGUCCAGUAGAGCUUCCACUGCCCCUAUAGGCUGCAGGCAGCUGCUUUAGUUGAGAGACUGAGCUCCUCAAAGAAUUCCUAUUUAAGUUACAAAGCAGCGAGUGGAUGCCCUGCUGGGUUCCACUGUUGCCACAGCCUUUGAUUACUCUAAGUUCAUGCUCCUUAGGAAAGUGCACUUUUUACACCAAUGCUACACAGUUCUCUCAGUUGCCUUUACUGGUCAUCAAGGAGUUCACAUUUUUGACAACCAUUCAGUCCUGGACUGUCCAAGGGGUGGAGGUAGCUCUGUACAGGAAGCUGCCUGCUGCCUGUGGAUCACUAAUAUCAGACUUGCCCAAAAACUCACUGA